ACACGUAGGGGCCUGACGUUGUUCGGAAUCAUUGGGCGUAAAGGGCGCGCAGGCGGCCGUCCAAGUCCGGUGUUAAAUGGUCGGGCUCAACCCGAUCAUGCGCUGGAAACUGGGCGGCUUGAGUCCCGUAGGGGAUGCCGGAAUUCCAGGUGUAGGGGUGAAAUCUGUAGAUAUCUGGAAGAACACCGAUGGCGAAGGCAGGCAUCUGGCCGGAGACUGACGCUGAGGCGCGAAGGCGCGGGGAGCGAACAGGUUUAGAUACCCUGGUAGUCCGCGCAGUAAACGAUGCGCACCAGGUGUCGGGCGGCAGCGCCCGGUACCGGAGCUAACGCGAUGAGUGCGCCGCCUGGGGAGUAUGCCCGCAAGGGUGAAACUCAAAGGAAUUGGCGGGG
rnacentral:rRNA from 1 species